UACGUAGGUGGCGAGCGUUGUCCGGAUUUACUGGGCGUAAAGAGCGUGUAGGCGGCCAGGUAGGUCGGUUGUGAAAACUGGAGGCUCAACCUUCAGAGGUCGACCGAAACCAUCUGGCUAGAGUCCGGGAGAGGAGAGUGGAAUUCCUGGUGUAGCGGUGAAAUGCGCAGAUAUCAGGAAGAACACCCGUGGCGAAAGCGGCUCUCUGGAACGGUACUGACGCUGAGACGCGAAAGCGUGGGGAGCGAACAGG
rnacentral:rRNA from 1 species